AAGAUGGCUCUGCUAUCACUUCUGGAUGGACCCGCGGCGUAUUAGCUAGUUGGUGAGGUAAAGGCUCACCAAGGCAGUGAUACGUAGCCGACCUGAGAGGGUAAUCGGCCACAUUGGGACUGAGACACGGCCCAGACUCCUACGGGAGGCAGCAGUAGGGAAUCUUCCACAAUGGACGCAAGUCUGAUGGAGCAACGCCGCGUGAGUGAAGAAGGGUUUCGGCUCGUAAAGCUCUGUUGUUAAAGAAGAACGUGGGUAAGAGUAACUGUUUACCCAGUGACGGUAUUUAACCAGAAAGCCACGGCUAACUACGUGCCAGCAGCCGCGGUAAUACGUAGGUGGCAAGCGUUAUCCGGAUUUAUUGGGCGUAAAGCGAGCGCAGGCGGUCUUUUAAGUCUAAUGUGAAAGCCUUCGGCUCAACCGAAGAAGUGCAUUGGAAACUGGGAGACUUGAGUGCAAAAGAGGACAGUGGAACUCCAUGUGUAGCGGUGAAAUGCGUAAAUAUAUGGAAGAACACCAGUGGCGAAGGCGGCUGUCUGGUCUGCAACUGACGCUGAGGCUCGAAAGCAUGGGUAGCGAACAGGAUUAGAUACCCUGGUAGUCCAUGCCGUAAACGAUGAUUACUAAGUGUUGGAGGGUUUCCGCCCUUCAGUGCUGCAGCUAACGCAUUAAGUAAUCCGCCUGGGGAGUACGACCGCAAGGUUGAAACUCAAAAGAAUUGACGGGGGCCCGCACAAGCGGUGGAGCAUGUGGUUUAAUUCGAAGCUACGCGAAGAACCUUACCAGGUCUUGACAUCUUCUGACAGUCUAAAAGAUUAGAGGUUCCCUUCGGGGACAGAAUGACAGGUGGUGCAUGGUUGUCCUCAGCUCGUGUCGUGAGAUGUUGGGUUAAGUCCCGCAACGAGCGCCACCCUUAUU
rnacentral:rRNA from 1 species